rnacentral:rRNA from 1 species
CUGCCGGUGACUUCCGGAGGAAGGUGGGGAUGACGUCAGUCCUCAUGGCCCUUAUGAGCAGGGCUUCCACGUCAUACAAUGGUCGGUACAGAGGGUCGCCAAGCCGCGAGGUGGAGCCAAUCUCAUAAAACCGAUCGUAGUCCGGAUCGCACUCUGCAACUCGAGUGCGUGAAGUCGGAAUCGCUAGUAAUCGCAGAUCAGCAUGCUGCGGUGAAUACGUUCCCGGGUCUUGUACACACCGCCCGUACCAUGGGAGUGGGGGAUACCAGAAGUGGCUAGGAUAACCUUCGGGAGUCCGGUUACCACGGUAUGCUUCAUGACUGGGGUGAAGUCGUAACAAGGUAGCCGUAGGGGAAACCUGCGGCUGGAUCCACCUCCUUUA